UCGUAACAAGGUUUCCGUAGGUGAACCUGCGGAAGGAUCAUUGUCGAGACCCGCAACAGCAGAGCGACCGCGAACACGUGACGAACGACGGUGGUGCCCUCGGGUGCCCCGUGGCCGCUGCUCGCCCGGGCUCUCCCGGGCCGCAGCGGCCCAACAACGAACCCCGGCGCGGACUGCGCCAAGGAAAACAAACGAGGAGGUCCUCCCGAGUUGCCCCGUUCGCGGGUGCGACCGGGCGGCGGCUUCACUAGCGAAACACGACGACUCUCGGCAACGGAUAUCUCGGCUCUCGCAUCGAUGAAGAACGUAGCGAAAUGCGAUACUUGGUGUGAAUUGCAGAAUCCCGUGAACCAUCGAGUCUUUGAACGCAAGUUGCGCCCGAAGCCACUAGGCCGAGGGCACGUCUGCCUGGGCGUCACGCAAAGCGUCGCCCCCCGGCCCCUCCACGGGCGCCUUGGGGGGCGGAGGAUGGCCCCCCGUGAGCUUAGGCCACGGCCGGCCGAAAAGCGGAGUCACCCCGGCGGCGGGUCGUCACGACAGGUGGUGGUUGUACAAGCUCAUCGCGUCCUGCCGUGCGAGCGCCCGUCCCGGGGCGAAGCUCCCCCGACCCAUUAGCGCCUCUCGAACGC
rnacentral:rRNA from 1 species